AAUAAUCCCACAUGAAAUGCCUUAUAAGAGCAGUUGUCAUCUCACCUAGUAAGAUGCGUUUUGGGCAAUAUAACAUAAGCUUGAGCCCAAAAACAAAACCGUGAGGGCUUAGACCCAAUUUCUUACUAGUGGGAGUGAGCUAUGGCAAUUUGGUAUCAAAGCUAGAUCCCGACCGGAAGUGUGUCAACGAGGACGCUGGGCCCCAAUAAGGUGGAUUGUAAAACCCGUGAGAUUGGGAAGUAAGAUUGGUGAACAAUUCCACAUCCCUCGGAGAGGGAAAGAUGAAUUGCCUUAUAGGAGCAGUUGCCAUCUCACCUAGGAAGACGUGUUAUGGAUUUUUACUUCUUAGUCCAAAGGUGUCCAAGUAAUAUGGCUAUUGAGGAAAUUCCAGUGAACCGCGUGGCUUAUUGGAUUAGGGUCAUGACAUUCCAAAUUUCCAAUAAGCAUCCUAAGUUUGGGAAAUGCUCUGGAUAACUAGAAGAAAACGAGAUAAAUCAUAAGGAAUGCAACAGAUCAAAAUGUAAAUUCUAAUAUGCAAAUUCUUUUUUUUUUUUGGGUAUUGAUUAGUUUUUGUGUUAAUUUUUUUUAGUUUUAAAUAUUUUAAAAUACUUUUUGAAUGUUAGGUUUAUUUUAAUUUAUUUUUUCCAAACAAAUGAAUGUAAAAUUUUUUGAAUCAGAGAAGAUAUGAUUUCAUUCAAUAAGAUGAAAUUUUAAAAAGAUAAGUGUUUACAAUUGAAUGUUGUAGGGGCUUUUUGUUCCGACAGCUAUUAAUAGGCCUGGGCUGCUGUAAAGAGCAAGUGGGUGAAUUGGCCCCUAUGUCUGAGUUCAAGAAUCCGAC
rnacentral:lncRNA from 1 species